CGUCUCCGGCGCGUCGUCUCCCCUGCCUGCCCCUCUCAUUCCAGGUGGCCAUAGCAAGCGGCCGGCACCUCAUCGCGCCGUCGCGGCCACCCUCCCCUAAUUUCCCCCGCCUGUCGCGCUCGCCGUCGCAACGGGCCGGUGCCGCCUGAUAAGGGGACAGUGUGCCCGCACGUCGCCGGGACGACCCCGCCGGAGCUCCAUCUGACGGUAACCCGUUCCUGAGCAGUUAGCACACACCUUUCGUCCAACAUGUACUUCCCACGCUUCCUGCCAGAGAGCGGCGAGUCGUCAAAGAUGUUGAGAUCUGGACAUUAAUUUCUGCACCAUCCUGUUGCAGUGUUGCGUCAGGUUGUCUGGUGGCCUGGCUGUGUGAGAUCCAAGUCCCCGGACUAUUGCUACCAUGGCGCAUUUAUGCCGACGAGGACUGCGAUGGGACUCCGGUCACCCGAUGGUUGCGAGUCGACCACGGUUUCUUGGCGUGUUUGAUACAAUCAACACAUCCAUGGCUUUGACAUGGAGCAUUUCUAGGUCCUUUAAUUCCCCACAAAGACCAGCAGCAGUUUCCUAUCCUGCAACCAAGCUAAUCCAAAGCAUUUUUUUCAUACAAUCUCCUUGUUUUGCUCUUCACAAACAUACAGGCAUGACUCUGCUCCCCUUUUUUAUCCUUCUAUUAUCGAUUUGCUUCUGCAAAUCCGAUGACCGCCUUACACCUGCGAAGCCACUCUUGCCUGGCGACAAGCUCGUCUCCAACAAUGGCAUCUUUGCUCUUGGUUUCUUCUCCCCUGAAAACUCCACCGCAAACUCAUAUGUAGGCAUAUGGUACCACGACAUCCCGGAGCGGACGUAUGUGUGGGUGGCCAACCGCGACAACCCAAUCGGCAGCGGUUUGUCUGGGAAGUUGGUUCUCACCAACAGCUCUGACCUUGUCUUGUCAGAUUCCAAGGGCCGUAUCCUUUGGAGGACGACGAACAACGUCACCGCCGGAGGUGAUGGGGCUGUGGCGCUGCUGCUCGAGGCAGGGAACUUUGUCGUCCAGUUGCAGAAUUUCACGCAGGUAUGGCAGAGCUAUGAUCACCCGACUGACACCAUCCUCCCCGGCUUCAAGUUAUGGGCGAACUACAAGACCCACACAGCAGUGCGCAUCGUUGCUUGGAAGGGUUCUCAAGACCCAUCCACCGGGAAAUUCUUCCUCAGUCGUGACCCCAGCACGGGCCUACAGAUCCUCACCUGGCGGGGAACAAGCAAGUACUGGCGCAGCGGACUGUGGAACGGUGCAGAAGCUUCAGACAAGAACGGAUACAUGUGGUCCCAGAACGUCGAUGACGGGGAGAUCAUCUACUCGACGUACAACACUGGCAACAGCUCCUCCCGGAGAUCGCACUGGAAGCUGGACUACACGGGCGACUUGAUGCUCAGGAUCUGGAGUGGCCAGUCAUGGGUGGUUCUGUUCAAGCGCCCAGAUGAUGGCUGCCGCCAAUACGGCUCGUGUGGUCCCUUUGGCUACUGUGACAUGCUCACCAGGGUGUGCAGGUGCCUUGAUGGGUUCGAGCCAGCGGAUGGCUUCAGUGCCAACUUCUCCAGAGGAUGCGUGAGAAAGGAGGCGCUGACAUGUCAUGGCUACCAUUUCUCAGCCUUGCCUGGGAUGAAGGUGCCUGACAAGUUUGUGUAUGUGAGGAGCAGAAGCUUCAAGGAGUGCACUGCUGAGUGUGAGCGUAACUGCUCCUGCACUGCGUACGCUUACGCCAACUUGAGCAGUAUUGUCACAACCGGUGGCCCAUCAAGAUGCUUGGUCUGGACAGGGGAGCUUGUUGACUUAGAGAAGACAGGCGUACUUGGUGGCAACCUGUACCUUCGGCUUGCUGGUUCUCCUGGACACAACAGGAAGAGUGGUGUCCGUGUGGUAUUAAAGAUUGCACUCCCAGUUAUAUCGUUCCUGGUGAUACUCUCAUGCAUAUAUCUUGUCUGUAUAUGCAAGCUAAGAGGGAAACAAGCAAACAAAGAAAGCAUGAAAAGACCGGCCCUGGAACAGUUUAGCACUUCGCAAGAAGUUUGGGAUCAAAAUUUGGAAUUGCGCUCUAUUAGGUUCGAAGACAUCGCUGCUGCAACAAACAGUUUCCAUGACACGAACGUACUUGGAAAAGGAGGGUUCGGCAAAGUCUAUAAGGGAACACUAGAAAACGGAAAGGAAGUUGCUGUUAAAAGGCUUAGCAAGGGUUCUGAGCAGGGUAUAGAGCAUUUUAUAAAUGAAGUGGUUCUUAUUGCCAAAUUGCAGCAUAAGAAUCUAGUUAGACUUCUUGGCUGUUGUAUUCAUGAGGAAGAGAAGUUGCUUAUUUAUGAAUACCUUCCCAACAAAAGCCUAGACAAGUUUCUCUUUGAUACUGCAAGGAAGUCUGUACUUGACUGGACAAGAAGGUUCAACAUAAUCAAAGGGGUAGCUAGAGGACUUAUGUAUCUCCACCAAGAUUCGAGAACGACGAUAAUCCAUAGAGACCUCAAACCAAGCAACAUCCUGCUAGAUGUGGAAAUGAAUCCAAAAAUAUCAGAUUUUGGAAUGGCAAGGAUCUUUGGAGGCAACGAGCAACAGGAAAGUACCAGACAAGUUGUUGGGACUUACGGGUACAUGUCGCCUGAGUAUGCGAUGGAGGGCAUUUUUUCCGUCAAGUCUGACAGCUACAGCUUUGGUAUUUUGCUACUAGAGAUUGUAAGUGGAUUAAAGAUCAGCUCACCUCAUCAUCUUGUGAUGGACUUUUCAAACCUCAUAUCCUAUGCCUGGAACCUGUGGGCAGAUGGAAGAGUGAGGGAUUUCGUGGACGCGGCCAUCACGGGGAGCUAUUCGCUUGACGAAGUGUCCAAGUGCAUCCAUGUUGGGCUCUUGUGUGUCCAGGACAGCUCCAGUGCUAGGCCACACAUGUCAUCGGUCGUUUCCAUGCUCGACAGUGAAGCCAUUCCUCGUGCACCGCCAGAGCAACCUGUGUAUUUUGCACGGAUAAACUACGAAACCACUGAAGCGAUGGAAGACACGGAGAACUCUGCCAAUGGCGUGAGCCUUACGGCGCUAGAAGGACGAUGACUCCGUUAGCUGCUGCAUGUAUGUAACAAGAAGUAGGACAAUUGAGUUGUCUCAAACUCUCAAUAAGGCGCUGCUUGAUAGGCAAUGCUAUUUGAGGGACCGCCCACCAUGAGUAGAUUAUCCGACCAACAGAAGGUGAUAUUGCACAUAUGUGGAGCGCCGCCAUCCAUGUCACCGGACUCAGAAGGCCACAUCCUCUGGAGGACGACGAACAAGGUCACCUCCGGGGGUGAUGGUGCCAUGGCGCUGCUGCUGGAGGCGGGGAACUUUGUCGUCCAGUUGCAGAAUUUCA